GCUUAACCCUUGCCCCAGGCUGUUUUCUAGGCAGUCCUGGAGUAUCAGCUAUCUUUUGCUGCAUAGCAAACUGCUCCCAAAUUUAGUGGGUUAAACAAUUUUCUUUGCUCAUGAUUCUGUGGGUCAGGCUUUUGGGCUGGGCUCAGCUGGGCAGUUCUCUAUGGUUACUGUGCAGCUUGGCCAUCUGGCAGCUGUCCUGGGCUGGAUGUGGCAAUGCCUCUCAUGAGGCUGGCAGCUGGCGCCCGCCCCUGACUGGUUGGUCCAGGAGGCCUCAGCUGCUCCACGCAGCUGCUGCUACUCCAGAGGGCUAGACCUGGCUGCCUCACAGCCUUCAGGGAAGGUUCUGCAAGGCAGGAGCAGAAGCUGAGCAGCCUGGAGGCCUUUCCUGGGGUGGUCCCUCCUGGCUCCUCUGCCACUCUCUGUGGGUCAAGCGAGGGAGCCGGGUUUUCAGCUGCACGGAUGACAUUGAUGCACAGCACUUGCAAUGAGACCUUCAUCCCGUGUCUCCCUGUCUCCCAUCCCUCCUGGCUUACACUACUACCCUGUCACCACUUUGAGGGUUUUGCAGCAUCAACAGCUCUCUCUGGAGGCGAUGCUUAACCCUGAAGAAAAGCUGUGCAUGACUCGGGAGGGAAAGGCCCUUCCUGCAGGAGCCUCACCCCCCUCAGCAGCGUCUGCCUCAGGAGGGGAAGACCCUUCCUGCAGGAUCUCCCGAGCAGCGUCUGCCUCACAGAGAAACAAGCCAGACCUCAGCACUCGCUUGCAGACUCCAGACUGUGGAGGGUUUAGAAGACUCUGCCUGUGGCCCCCACUCUCAGAGCCCUGUUCUGCAAACCCAAGGGGAUCAACAGCCUUUCUGAUGUCUGCAUGGGUUUACUGUUGGCUACGUUUAAAUGACAACACAUGUUCUAAAGUAAAAAAUAAGCAAUGGGCCUGGUGCAGUGGCCCACGCCUGUAAUCCCAGCACUUUGGGAGGCUGAGGCAGGCGGAUCACCUGAGGUCAGGAGUUUGAGACCAGCCUGGAAAACAUGGCGAAACCCCGUCUCUACUAAAAAUACAAAAAUUAGCCAGGUGUAGUGGUGGGCGCCCGUAAUCCAAGCUACUUGUGUGGCUGAGUCACAAGACUCACUUGAACCUAUGGGUAGAGGUUGCAGUGAACCAUGGUUGCGCCACUGCACUCUAGCCUGGGCGACAGAGCAAGACUUGAUCUCAAAAAAAAAAAAAAAUUUAUCAUGAGAUUGCAGCAAUUCAGUCCCAUCCUCAGGGUCCACUUCUAAUUCUAGUUCUCUUGCUGUUUCCACCACAUCUGCAGUGACUUCCUCCACUGAAGUCUUCAGGUUCUCAAAGUCAUCCUUGAGGCUUGAGAUCAGCUUCUCCCAAAUCCUGUUCACGUUGAUAUUUUUAUGUCCUCCCAUGAAUUGUCAGUGUUCUUAAUGUCAUCUAGAAUGGUGAAUCCUUUCCAGAAGGUUUUCAGUGAACUUUAGCCAGAUCCAUCAUAGGAAUCACUGUCUAUGGUUGCUAUAGCCUUAGAAAUGUUUUUUUUUUUUUUUGACAAAGUCUUGCUCUGUCGCCCAGGUUGGAGUGCAGUGGUGCUCACUGAAACCUCUGCCUUCCGGGUUCAAGUGAUUCUCCUGCCUCAGCCUCUUGAGUAGCUGGGAUCACAGGCACCUGCCACCAUGCUUGGCUAAUUUUUGUAUUUUUAGUAGAGACAGGGUUUCACACCAUGUUGGUCAGGCUGGUCUUGAACUCCUGACCUCAGGUGAUCCACCCGCCUUGGACUUCCAAAGUGCUAGGAUUACAGGCGUAAGCCAUCAUGCCCGGCCAGAAAUGUGUUUCUUAAAUAGUAAGACUUGGAAGUCGACACAACUCCUUGAUCCAAGGGCUGCAGAAUGGAUGUUGUUUUAGCAGCCACGAAAGCAGCAUGACUCUGUGUAUGUCUCUGUUAGAGCUCUGGGAACUAGGUGCAUUGUCAACGAAUAUACGUAUGUAUUUUCAGACAGGGUGUCACUGUCACCAAGGCUGGAGUGCAGUGGUGUGAUCCUGGCUGACUGCAGCUUUGACCUCCCUGGCUCAAGUGAUCCUCCCACCUCAGCCUCCUGAGUAGCUGAGCCCACAGGCAUAAGCUACCAUACCUGGCUAAUUUUAAAAUUUUUUAUAAAGAUAGGGUCUCCUUAUGUUGCUCAGGCUGGUCUCAAAUUCCUAGGCUCAAGUGAUCCUCCUGCCUCAGUUUCCCAAAGUUCUGGGAUUACAAGCGUGAACCAUCAUGCCCAGACUCAUAGUAAUAUUAUGAAAAGAAUCUUGUUUUUCCCGAGCAGUAGCUCUCAAUAGUGGGCUUAAUGGAUUCCGUAAACCAUCGGGAGCACAUGUGCUGCCAUCCAGGCCUUGUUGCUCCAUUUCUAGAGCAGGCAGAGUGCAUGUGGUAUAAUUCUUAAGGGCUCUAGGAUUUUCUGAAUGGUGAAUGAACACUGGCUUCAAUCUGAGGCCACCAGCUGCAUUAGCCCCUCACAAGAGGCUCAGCCUGUCCUAUGAAGCUUCGACGCCAGGCACUGGCUUCUCUCCAGCUAUAAAAGUCUCAGAUGGCAUCUUCUUCCAACAGAAAACUAUGUUGUCUACAUAAAAGGUCUGUGUAGCGUGGCCACCUUCAUCCAUGAUCUCAGCUGGAUGUUCCGGGUAACUUACUGCAGCUUCUCCAUCAGUACCUGCUGCCUCCCUUGAACUUUCACGUUAUGGAGAUGAUUUCUUUCCUUAAACCUCACAAACCCAUCUCUGUUUGCUUCAGACUUUUUCUUCUGCAGCUUCCUCACCUCUCUCAGCCUCCACAGGAUUUAAGAGUCGGGGCCUUGCUCUGGAUUAGGCUUUGGCUUAAGGCUUUGGCUCCAGCCUUCUUGGCACCAAGGGCCGGUUUUGUGGAAGACAAUUUUUCCACAGACUAGGCGUCGGGGGGAAGGUUUGGGAUGAAGCUGUUCCACCUCAGAUCAUCAGGCGAUAGUUAGAUCCUCACAAGGAGUGCGCAACCUCGAUCCCUCGCACGCGCAGUUCACAGUAGGGUUUGCACGGUUCUGAGAAUCUAAUGCUGCUGCUGAUCUGACUCUCCUGCCACUCACCUCCUGCUGUGUGGCCUGGGGGUUGGGGACCCCUGGCUUAAGGGAAUGUUGUGGGUGGUUUGAUCAUUCCAUCUAGGCCAUUAAAACUUUCUCCCUCUCAGUGAUUUGGCUGUUUCGCUUCCUUAUUCACGUGUUCCACGGGGUAGCACUUUUAAUCUCCUUCAAGAACUUCUUUUUUGCAUUCACAGGUUGACUCAGUGCUUGGUGCACGAGCCUAGAUUUCCACCUGUCUCGGCUUUCAACAUGCCUUUCUCACUGAGUCUAAUCAUGUCUAGCUUGUGAUUGACCAUUCACUUGAGGACUUAGAGGUCACUGUAGGGUUAUUGGUUGGCCUAAUUUCAAAUUGCUGUUUCUCAGGGAAUAGCGAGGCCCAAGGAAAGGGAGAGAGGGAGGAAUGGCUGGUCCAUGGAGCAGUCAGAACACACACAGCACUUAUCAAUUAAGUUCACUUUCUUAUAUGCGUGGUUCAUGGAGCCCUAAAACGAUGACCAAGUAACUCCAAAGAUCACCAACCACAGACCACCACAAAAGAUACAAUCAUAAUAAAGUUCAACACAUUGCAAAAUUACUAACGUGUGACUGAGAGAUGUGAGCGAGCACACGCCGUUGGAAACACGGCACAGGUGGGCUUGCUCAACGCGGGGCGGCCACAGACCUUCAACAGUCAAACAUGCGGUAUCUGCAAAGUGCAGGAAAGUGAACACAAUAGGCCGGGUGCGGUGGCUCACACCUGUAAUCCCAGCACUUUGGGAGGCCGAGACGGGCAGCUCACGAGGUCAGGAGAUUGAGACCACCC
rnacentral:lncRNA from 1 species